CUGGUAGUGUUGAUUCUCUCUGUACCAGGUGCCACCCCAACCAGGAAAUUCGGCCUUCGAUCAAGAUCAGAUUCCCAUAUUCGGUCGUAGGGGUCAUCGGGGUACCUGCGCGAGAACUUCCAUUCAGUGACAUUGCAAUGGUUUAAAGGCCGCAUCUCGAGAGUUGAUAUGAACGGAGAGCCCGUGGUUGCGCAGCACAGGCACACGUCCACAGAGUAGAGCUGGAACUUGGGGUAGGCGCCUUGGCUGACCGAAGCCCCGUACAAGAAGGUGGCGCGGACAAUGUAGCGCCGUCUUUCUUCAGUGGUGAGUGUGUAGCAGUACUUCUUGCUGUCUGUUGGGAAAUCCCUCCUUGUCUGAUACUGCUGCUGUGAGUUUCCAUUUAUAUCUCCCACUCUCACUGACACGCCGUCGCCUUGGAUUCCCUUGUCUGAGAUCCACGCCAGGCCGGUGCUGUUGUCCGUGUAGCUGCUUGUGCCUCCGCAGUCUAUGCUAAUGAACUCUGCGUGUGUUGAUGCUUUGCUAACUUUAAAUAGUGUUUCGUUUUAAAUCUUGAUCCGAUUUAAUGCUUCGAAUGAUGAAUUCGAGGCGUUACAUAGUUUAUGAAAACAUAGCAGUCUUGAUUAUGAUUUCA